AGUUAGUUUUUUGGCUAUAUCCCUUUGUGUUUUUUUUAGUGGUUGCUCUAGGGAUUAUAAUACACAGGUCUAAGUUUUUACAGUCUAGCUAGAGUUAAUUUUUUUUUUUUACAGCUUCAGGUAAAACCUAGAAGGCUUGCAACCACAUAGGUCUCUUUACCCUCCCCCUUUAUCUUACGGUGUCACAUGUAUCGUAUUUACAUACACUGACAGCUUCCCAGACAAUGUUAAAUUGUUGCUUUCAGCCUUCAUACAUAUUUUAGAGAACUUAAAAAGAGAAAAAUAUCACUUAACCAGACAUUUAUCAUUUUUAUUGUGCUUCCUUCAUUCCUGAAAUUCCAAGUUUCCCUCUGGGAAUAUAUUCCUCCAGUGGAAACUUCCUUUAGCAAUUUCUCUUAGAGCAAACACACCCGCAGUGAAUUCUUUUGUUUUCCUUCACCUGAGAAUACCCUUAUUUUACCUUCACCCCUGAAGGAUGUUUUCACUGCAUAUAGAAUUCUGCAUUGGUAUUUCUUUCAGCCCUUUAAAGAUUUCACUCCACCGCUUUUAUGAAUUCUGACAAGGAAUCCUUUGUAUUCUCUAGCAUCUGUGGUAUUUGAUUAUUAUCCCCCUGCACAUAAUGUAUCAUUUUGCUACGGCUGCUUUCAAGACCUUAUCUUUGGUUUUUAGCAGUUUAAUUUUGAUGUGUAUAUGCGUGGGUUUAUUUAUUUUUUUGAGUUUACCUUGUUUGGGGCUCCCUGAACUUCUUGAAUCUCAAAAUUUAUGUCUUUCACUAAAUUUGAGGAGUUUUUAGUCAUUAUUUCUUCAAAUAUUUUGACUGUCACAUCUUUCUCCUCUUCUUAGGGACUCCAGUGAUACGGGUGUUGUCCCACAGGUCCCUGUGACUGUUUAUGUUUCUGCCCUUUUUCUGUCUGUUCUUCAGGUUGGAUCAUUCCUAUGGCUCCAUCUUCAAGUUCAGGGAACUUUUUCUGUCAUCUCCAUUCUGCUCUUGCGCCUCCCAAGUGCCUUGUUUCUUUCAGACAUUCUAUUUUUCAGUUCUAAAAUUUCCAUUUGGCCCUUUCUUAUAGUUUCUCUUUUUCUGCUGACAGUUUAUCUUUAUUUUCGUUUUAGAAGUGCUCACACUUACCUCGUGGAGGAAGGUUAUAAUGGCUGCUUCCUGUUGGUUUCAUUUUACGUUGCGUCAUUCUGUUUGGUUUCUUGCAUUUGGCCCCUUGGAUUUUCUGUUUCUGAUGCGCCUGCUUUGGGCUGCCCACCCCUCACUGCCCAGUACUGCAUUGGGCAGUGCUGCACUUGAUGAUGCCAUAUCUUGGGUUCUCAGCUAGGCUAUUAGAUCUCUGCUGAUUAGAGUAGGACCAUUGAUUCUCCUUCUUCAACAGUGUCUUUGAUCCUGCUGAACAAUUUGAAGUAAAUUGAAGUAAGCGGAUUCAUUGUAGAAAAUUCACAAGGCCAACCCAGCUACUGUAAUACUUUGUUUAUUACAAUAUGAUUAUUAUCUUGAAUAACUCUUUUCGUUCUAAGCAUCUGUGGGAUCUCAUGGGAAAGAAAUAUGGUGCACAUUCCCUACCACCCAGCAUUUUCAGCCCAAUUAAAAUUGCAGGCAGCCUUCAUGAAUAUCAUUGUGUGCUUUACAGAGACUCCACAGGUACCCAGCCCAGAUGGAAUUAACCCAUUAGUGUUGCUGUCAAUCACAGGAAGUUGACACAAAGUGUUUAUUAACAUUAUUGACCUAAAAAGAAGGAUCUGCCGUUCAUCUGCCAUGGUCACCUGCUUCAUUAACUUAUUGGCAGCAUUUAGCAAGGCUGGAAAAUUGAUUGGUUGAUUCAUUCAUUCAUUCCCUCCUUCAGCAGACAUUUUUGUUUUUUUUCUUUUUGCCAUGCUGUGCAGCAUGCAGGAUCUUAGUUCCCUGACCAGGGAUCGAACCUGCGCCCCCUGAAGUGGAAGCGCGUAGUCUUAACCACUAGACUGCUGGGGAAGUCCCAGCAGACAUCUUUGGAUCGUUCGUUAUGUGUCAGGCGGCAGCAGCAGAGGAUUCUGCUGGAGUGCAGCUGAGCCCUGGGUGCCCACGGAGUGAGGAGUUUGUUGAGGAGAAGCUGUGGAACGGCAGGUCUCCACUCUUUCUGCUGACGCAGAGAAGGGAGAGUGAGGCUCCAGUAGAACCGGUCCAGGAAGCCACAGGGGAGGGAGGGUCUUAGGACCCAUAUUUGCUGUAACAACAUCAGUAGGAGUUCAGUAACUCUUAAGUUCAAUAACUUAAGUUGAGCAAUACGGGAAAGCCGCAAUGUGCCACGCGUAUCAUCCAACAUUACCACAGAGGUCGGUACAACUAUGUUUGUUAUUUUACAGAUCAAGAAAUUGAAGCACAGAGAGCCUAAGUAGCUUGCCCAGCGUCUCCCAGUUACCAAGUGGAUGAUCUGCUCUGGAAGCUCAGACGCUGAACCACAGUGUUUUCUCUGUGUGAUCAGAGAACCAAGGACAUGGAUUAUGGUGAAAACAUACAUACAGAGUUUCUGAUAUUGAAAAUUGCAGUUCAUUCCUCAGCGUCUUCGGGAGGUGCUUAUGAGUGGUUGCCGUGAGCCAGGUGUGUCCUAAACACCAGGAAGAUGGUGGUGAACCAGAGCCUUGCUUCCAGGGAGCUCACAUUCUGCUGCAAGGAGGAUCCCAUCCAGGGCACCACGUGGCAUUUGGUCAUGUCCUGAGUCUCCUCUGGUUGGCGACAGUUUCUCAGCCUUCCUUUGUUUUUCAUGACCUUUCCAGCAUUGAGGAGUACCAGUCAGGUAUUUCACAGAAUGUUCCUCAAUUUGGAGUUGUCUGAUGUUUUGUUUAUGACUGGACUGGAGCCAUAGGUCUCUGGGGAGGAUCUCACAGAGGUGAAGUGGCCUUCUUCUCGCAUCGUGUCGGGGUGCUUUCUGCCAACACAGCUUCUCACUGUGAUAGUAACCCCGAUCACUUGGUGAAGGCGGCGUUUGCAAAGUUUCUGCGGUACAAUUACUACUUCCCCCUUUUCAUACUCUGUUCUUUGGAGGCAAGAACUGAGUCCAGCCCGUGCUUGAGGACGUAGGAGGUGAAGCUUCAUGUUGUGGACAGGGAGUAGUUGCUUAAGUGAUUUGGAAUAUUCUGCAAGGAAUAUUGGCCUCUUCCCUGCCAUUUUAAAAUUUGAGCCAUCAUUUAUUUAUAUCACCGGGGUAGGCGGAAUAUCAGCCCCUCCAAAGAUGGCCACGGCCUAAUCCCUGGAGGCUGUAAGUUUGUUACCUUACACAGCAAAAGGGAUUUUACAGGUGGGACUGAGUUAGGGAUCUUGAAAUGGGAGGUUAUCCUGG